AUAAUAGCAGGCAUGUGGGAAUGUUAGAGAAAGACCGUGCCCCGAGGAAGCCCAGAGACUGCUGGGAGCAGACAUGGAAGUUACCGUGAAACUUAUGUAAACAGUAAAAAAGAUAAAUUAAGCUGAGGCAGUUUAGGGGUUUCCGAGAUGUUUCUUCUGCCCCAGUGCCUUCACGUUCCCUCUCCUGUCUACGGUUCAUUGGGCUUGAGAGGAUGAAAGUUCACCUUGGCCUGGAAGUGGUGAGCCUGUAAUGGCAGGGAGUGGAUCGGGGUCAGGAAUGGGCCUUCCACAGGGGCCACUGUACUUCACACCACCUUUCUCAACUGUCCCAUUGGUUCCUCAGCCCCUGCACGUGGUGUGUCCUGAGCAGUACACUCAGCCGCCCCCAGCCCAGUCCCACAGGAUGGACCUCAUGAUCGACUGCCAGCCCCCCGCCAUGUCCUAUCGGCGGGCUGAGGUUCUCGCCCUGCCCUUCAAACGUCGGUACGAGAAGAUCGAGAUCAUGCCAGAGCUCGCAGAUUCACUGGUGCCCAUGGAGAUCAAGCCUGGCAUCUCCUUGGCAACUGUCUCGGCCGUGCUGCACACC
rnacentral:sRNA from 1 species